CUCUGUUCACAUUGCAAGACUCCAAAGCUGUCCAGGCACAGAGGGCUCAGGAUUGGAGAGAAAGGGCCCUGGAUUACGUAAGAAGGAGAAAGCAAGCUGAGGAGGAAAGCGAACCGUCUUUGCAUUCAUCACCCUCCACUUCAGGACUGCAGAUGUCACGUGACCAGCCGCCUCAGGCUCCUCCCACCACGCCUUUCCCACCAAUCAUCUGUGCUCUUAAACGGUGAAA